rnacentral:rRNA from 1 species
UUCGGUCUGGUGAGAGUGGCGAACGGGUACGUGGGAACCUGCCCAGAGGUACGGAAUAACAGUUGGAAACGACUGCUAAUACCGUAUGAGCCCGAGAGGGGAAAGAUUUAUCGCCUUUGGAGGGGCCCGCGUCAGAUUAGGUAGUUGGUGGGGUAAAGGCCUACCAAGCCUACGAUCUGUAGCUGGUCUGAGAGGAUGAUCAGCCACACUGGGACUGAGAUACGGCCCAGACUCCUACGGGAGGCAGCAGUGGGGAAUAUUGGACAAUGGGGGCAACCCUGAUCCAGCAAUGCCGCGUGAGUGAUGAAGGCCUUCGGGUUGUAAAGCUCUUUUGCCAGGGACGAUAAUGACGGUACCUGGAGAAUAAGCCCCGGCUAACUUCGUGCCAGCAGCCGCGGUAAUACGAAGGGGGCUAGCGUUGUUCGGAAUUACUGGGCGUAAAGGGCGCGUAGGCGGUCUGAUAAGUUAGAUGUGAAAUUCCCGGGCUUAACCUGGGGGCUGCAUUUAAGACUGUCAGGCUUGAAUCCGGGAGAGGAUAGCGGAAUUCCCAGUGUAGAGGUGAAAUUCGUAGAUAUUGGGAAGAACACCAGUGGCGAAGGCGGCUAUCUGGACCGGCAUUGACGCUGAGGCGCGAAAGCGUGGGAGCAAACAGGAUUAGAUACCCUGGUAGUCCACGCCGUAAACGAUGAGUGCUAGACGCUGGUAGGUUUACCUAUCGGUGUCGCAGCUAACGCAUUAAGCACUCCGCCUGGGGAGUACGGUCGCAAGAUUAAAACUCAAAGGAAUUGACGGGGGCCCGCACAACGGUGGACAUGUGGUUUAAUUCGAAGCACGCGCAGA